UCCUGGGGCAUGAGGCGGGCACAAAGGGGUGGCUGCUGUUAGUGCCACCGCCUGCCCGGCUCUCCUCCCUACAACGGACUCCCCACCCCCCCUUCCUGGCUUUAUUUCCCUUCCCGGCACUCCCCGUGCCCCGCCACGGUAUCCCUCUCCUCUCUCUAGAACGUGACUCCAACGAGGUGAAAAGCCGUUCCUAUCGGCCAGCGCUCCUCAACAGGAACCGAGCCCUUCCCCGGUCUGGCCCCACAGUCAGUGGCCUGCGUAUCAUGCGUCUGACUCAUCCUCACCAUUCUCCUUGGCUGCCUUUCUGGAAAGUUCCUGUUGUACGUCUAGCCUCGUAAACUGAAGUUGGGCAAUAGGACGAGGCUGUCCCAGAACCCUGUAGCUCUGUCCCUCAGAUGAGUCCCUCUACUUCUCUGUGCCUCCGUUUCCCUGUCUGGGAAAUGGGCCCAGCCCACCUGCCUGCUGGGAGGAUGUAAUGUGCUUUUCCUGUGAAACACGCGGAGCUCCGACCGGCACAGAGUGACAACGGUGACUGAGCCGUCGGGGCCGGGACCGCCCAGCACUGGGUCAUUGGCGCCUCCUGCCCCACAGGGCUUGGGGACCGACAGUGUCAGCUUGGCUGGGGAGCGCCUCCCAGCUCUGCCAACUGCGUGACCCUGGGUGAGCGAGUGAUCAAAUCCAGGCUCUAUCGUUUGCCUGUUCCGGGCCCCGGAGCAUCUAUCUCUGUCCCUGGCCAAGCGUCAACUUCCUCCUCUGUACAGAGGGGGUGACAGGAGGCCCUCCCUUCACCGGAUCCGAUUCUCCCUGCUCUCGCCCUGUCUCCUUCUACAACAAAUGAAAAGAACCACCUUCCCAACCACAAGGGGUCCUCGGGGUCGGUAGCACGCAGCCUGCCAUCGCCACCGCGGCUCCAGGGUGUGGUACUGGUGGGGGUUUUAACGACAUUGACACAGGCAGAGAGUUCUGUUGGGCAUCGGGCCUGGAAAUGGUGCCACAAACAGUCGUGCUCAGCUGGGAAUAUUCUGUGGGCCACACAGAUCAUCUAGAAAGUCUCGAGUCAGGAGAAUCAGACCAGAACGCACCUCGGUCAGCGAGCUUCUCAGAAAGGGCAGGGAUGACUCAGGAAUGAGCAAGAAGAGGCAGGAGGUUUUGACAUCCUUACGACACCGAGGGGGGGGCGCCAGGGUGGAGCUGGGGACA